rnacentral:rRNA from 1 species
UACGUAGGGUGCAAGCGUUGUCCGGAAUUAUUGGGCGUAAAGAGCUCGUAGGCGGCUUGUCACGUCGGCUGUGAAAUCCCGAGGCUCAACCUCGGGUCUGCAGUCGAUACGGGCAAACUAGAGUAUUGCAGGGGAGACUGGAAUUCCUGGUGUAGCGGUGAAAUGCGCAGAUAUCAGGAGGAACACCGGUGGCGAAGGCGGGUCUCUGGGCAAUAACUGACGCUGAGGAGCGAAAGCGUGGGGAGCGAACAGG